rnacentral:rRNA from 1 species
GGCAAGUCUGGUGCCAGCAGCCGCGGUAAUUCCAGCUCCAAUAGCGUAUAUUAAAGUUGCUGCAGUUAAAAGCUCGUAGUUGGAUCUGGGGCAUGGAUUCACUGCUGUCCGUUCGUUCGGAGGUGGUGGUAUCCUGCUCUGCUUGUCGUUGACUGUUGCAGUGUUCUUAACUGAGCGCUGCAAUAGCACGGCAUGUUUACUUUGAAAAAUUAGAGUGUUCCAGGCAGGCUUAGCCUGAAUAGUGCAGCAUGGAAUAAUACAAGAGGACUUGGCUCCAGUUGUUGGUGUAUGGCGCUGAGUAAUGAUUAACAGGGAUAGUUGGGGCAUUCGUAUUAAUUGUCAGAGGUGAAAUUCUUGGAUUUAUUAAGACGAACCUGUGCGAAAGCAUUUGCCAAGGAUGUUUUCAUUAAUCAAGAACGAAAGUUAAGGGAUC